AGGGUUUGAUUCUGGCUCAGGAUGAACGCUAGCUACAGGCUUAACACAUGCAAGUCGAGGGGCAGCGGGAUUGAAGCUUGCUUCAAUCGCCGGCGACCGGCGCACGGGUGAGUAACGCGUAUCCAACCUUCCGCUUACUCGGGGAUAGCCUUUCGAAAGAAAGAUUAAUACUCGAUGGUAUCUUAAGCACACAUGUAAUUAAGAUUAAAGAUUCAUCGGUAAGCGAUGGGGAUGCGUUCCAUUAGGUAGUAGGCGGGGUAACGGCCCACCUAGCCGACGAUGGAUAGGGGUUCUGAGAGGAAGGUCCCCCACAUUGGAACUGAGACACGGUCCAA
rnacentral:rRNA from 1 species